UACAGAGGAUGCAAGCGUUAUCCGGAAUGAUUGGGCGUAAAGCGUCUGUAGGUGGCUUUUUAAGUCCGCCGUCAAAUCCCAGGGCUCAACUCUGGACAGGCGGUGGAAACUACCAAGCUGGAGUACGGUAGGGGCAGAGGGAAUUUCCGGUGGAGCGGUGAAAUUCGUAGAUAUUCGGAAGAACACCAGUGGCGAAGGCGACUCACUGGACACGUAUUGACGCUGAGGUGCGAAAGCGUGGGGAGCAAACAGG
rnacentral:rRNA from 1 species